rnacentral:rRNA from 1 species
GCCUACGGGUGGCUGCAGUCGAGAAUCUUCGGCAAUGGGCGCAAGCCUGACCGAGCGACGCCGCGUGCGGGAUGAAGGUCUUCGGAUUGUAAACCGCUGUCGGAGGGGAUGAAGUGUAUCGGGGUACUCCCCGGUAUUUGACAGAGCCUCGGAGGAAGCACGGGCUAAGUUCGUGCCAGCAGCCGCGGUAAUACGAACUGUGCGAACGUUAUUCGGAAUCACUGGGCUUAAAGGGUGCGUAGGCGGCGAUUCAAGUCAGGUGUGAAAUCCCCCGGCUCAACCGGGGAACUGCGCUUGAAACUGGAUUGCUCGAGUGAGGCAGGGGUGUAUGGAACUUCCGGUGGAGCGGUGAAAUGUGUAGAUAUCGGAAGGAACGCCGGCGGCGAAAGCGGUACACUGGGCCUUGUCUGACGCUGAGGCACGAAAGCUAGGGGAGUGAACGGGAUUAGAUACCCUGGUAGUCA